GUAGGAUUGCGACCCGGCGCUCUACCCCCUCGUCAGUGGUCGCAGCUGGCUGGGCUCUUUAAAAAGCCCGGUUUUGGACCAGUUCGCUCUCGCUGCAUAUGCUGUGACUUGGUCUUUGUUUGGUUAGGGCGCCUUGACCGUGUGCCAGAGGCUGGAGGGUGAAGAGUUGCAGUUUCGUCGCUGGUGAGAUUAAUGUGGGGCAGGAUGGCAUCCAACACGUUGCCACCAGCCUCCCCGUCGCUCUGGUACGCCUCGUCAGCCUCUGGAUCGGGCUGCCCGUGCUGAACCACCUCCUCCUCUGGACCAGGUCCAUCAUUGAUGAUGUCCACCAGGGAAAAGGGUUCGGAUACACCCGUGCGUUGGCUGAAUAAAUAUUCCAACCCAAGCAACUCGUUGGAAGCAACAUUGGCGGGGGCCCGGAAAUUCUCCUCCAGUCUCGCCAAACAGCUGCUGACAGCGGGUGUUGAGGCGGUGAAUGAGCGGCGCAGAGUAUUUCCUGUGAUUCUGUCCUUUGCCACCAAACACGGCGUCCAAACUCCUGUCUGAAUUCCACCGAGCAAUGCCACUCAUCAGGUAAACCUGAUGGGGCCGUGCUGCACAAUGGGGCCCUGAGUAGAACAAAGUUAAACAAAGCGUUAAUGUCAAUUUGUCCUGAUAACUCCACACAAGUACACAUGACAGUAAAACCUUCAUCUUGAGCUGGAAUGUAACCAAGCACAUUUAUUUAACUAAUUAACUUAAGUCCACGAUAUUUUAUCAUUUUCCAUUUGAAGCUACUUCACACUUACAAGCCAAUACAUCUCUUUGGUAAAUAUCAUGUACUUUUUACAGAUUUUUUCUCUUCUCAUCACCGUCCUGUCCAGUGAAACAUUCCCUGAUGUGUUGCCGUCGUAGAGUGAAGUGUUUUAUGUUUAAUUAAUUAAUAGUUCAGCCUGUGCUUUCUCUCUAGAAUAUUGUCAAAGUCACCUGAUUAGUUUGUUACAACACGAGGAAUCACCUGGAAUCAUGUGUGGCAGCGAUUUGUGGAAUCCUUCCAGGCUGUUGCUUCCACGCAGACAUUUGUAAUGGGGCACGUCCACAUUAUUGAUAGUUGUGCUACGCGCCACCCUAUACAUGUUCAUGCCUGGUGGAUCCUGGAUGCACUCCAGAUGUCGCUGCUGGCCUGCCCACAUCUCACCGAUACACGCUGCAUGGCAUGUGUAUUUACAGAGGUUAUGUUCACUUUGUAUGCUACUCUAUAUUAAUGUUGUAAUAACCUAUUUUAUGGGGCGCUUAAUAUCAGGUGUUUUGAAGAGGCUAACUCCGCUCUCGUCCAGCCCAACGGGACCUUUCAUCUCCUCGAUGGCCAGCUGGAUGAGCCGAAAGGUCUCCUGAGCACCGAGUGUAACCCUCCUCACAUGGUGCUUGAGCUGAUCCCUGGAGAUGUGGCAGCGGACAAUGUCCUCGUCCGAGACUCUCCGGGUUCUUGGCUCUGAUGGCUUUCAUGAGCAGCUCCAGGUCCGGGCGGUUGUGGGCCAAAACUGCCCCAGCUAGAGCAGACUUGAACACUGCAUACUUACAGUGGGACUCAGCAGGAAGGGAAGACACAAGAGCCGCGCAGAGGGAAGUUCUCUCGGAGCAGGUGGAGCUUGGAAUUCGUGGCCUAAUGCAGAGACGAUACCACCUGGUUCAGCUACGGUCAUGAGGAGUGUGGUGUACAGGUCCUUAUGUUGAAAAUACUCCUCAACAUGACUCUCCUGUACCUGCCUCCACACCUUGACCAUAGUGUUGCCUUCUGUCCUGUCCCUCAGAAGGCGCACCACGUUCUCAUCCACCCCACGCCGGCGAACACAUUCAGCAUUCAUACACAGCGUGGUGAGAUUUAUUGCGCUGAAGUUAGACUGUUAAAUGCACUCAAUACGUUUAAUAUCCUCACUUGCUGGUGCGGACGGCAGGGAACUGCGCUUGAUGAGCCUCACUAAGUUGAGAUCGAAUAGCACGGUCCCAUGCGAGCCAUCGGCCCACUGUGCCACCUCCUCCGCUCCUGGCGGCCUUUGUGCAGGGUCCACAGCACAGGACCUCAGUGACCGAUGUGUACCAGCCGGACACAUCAAAUGUGACGUACCUGUAGUAGAUAUUAUAUUAUUAGCAGAUAUUUUGCAUACAUAUGUUUACAUACGUAGUAAGAACACAGUGAUUCAUACCCGGUGGUGAAAGCCAGACUUGUAGAGGUGCACAUCCCUCCCGUGCCCGACGUAGUCAUCCCCUCGAGGGCACUUCAGGGAGUAUCGCCAAACUCCAACCGGACGCCUCACAAAUACACGGCUCCGGAAAAAAAGGUGUGGUGUUGGCGCAGCUCCCUUCACAUAGCGAGGCGGUUCAGGUGGAUAAAACCACAUCCGGUCGGAUUUGAUCACCCGGCGCCUCUUUAACUGACCAGAUUUGUGUUUAAAUAUCUGAACAGCGGUGAACAGGCCUCGUUCUGUGUCCUCUUUUAGCCAGGAUAUGUCCGCUGAUGGGACACCAUGGGGGUUUUCCCACGAACGCACCCAGCCCUCCAGCUCCACCUGCAACGCAGAAACAAAACAUUUGGUUAUGAUUGUCAACAAAAGAUUGCUAAAACCUUAAACCAAUUAUGAAACAUUUAAAAGAAAUGUCAUUUACUUUACAUACAGUGUGAAUAUCACUUACAGAGGAGUCACUCGGAGAUGAUUCCACCGCGGAAUCAGGACCCCUGGAUGUGGACGGGGUAUACGGGUUUUUUUGAGAAAAUUAAAGGCUUUUAAGAGCGCCUUUAUAGUGCGGAAAAUACGGUACUGUUCUUUUUCUGAUUGUGCUCCGUGUUAAUGCACUUUACAGCUUUUUACGAUUGACUAUUGCAAAACACUAAACACAGUUGUAUAUAUUACACACGGAGGUAUAUCAAGAUGUCACUUCCUUGCAAUUGCAAAGCACUGAUUGUCAAAUUACCUAACUAAUUGACACAUGGGUUUGACAGACCGAUCAGGUGUGCAAACACAGAAUUGCUGAAUUGCAGACAGACUGCACAGGAUACAAUGUUAUGUUUGUCUGAUGCAUAUAAACUGGGAGUUGUUUGUUGUUUUGAAUCGCCAUGUUGACACAUUUGAGUGGGCAAAAAUAAACUACAUAAUCCUCAGUCUGCUGCAUUGGUCUUGUGUGGUGUCAUGUGGUGUGUAAUGUACCCACAUGUCUUUUAGUGUUUUGCCAAAUCACUGUAUUGUUUUGCAAAAAGGGUGAGCAGACAUUGUGCUUAUCGUACUGCAAAUGUGGCCGAUGUUUUGCACUUUCUCUGUGUACUUCACUUACACUGCUCUAAUCGCUGAGAAGUACAAUUGCCAAAAGUGAGUGUGGUACAAACUGAAUAAAGUCGUAUGCAACGUGUGUGUCGUAUGGUAACAAAAUAUGAUUUUGAUUAAGUUGUGCAUAGUUUAACAAGAGUGUUUUAAUUUUGCAAAGAAUCAGUCAAUAAUGUGACAGAAUAAAUAAACAACUUUCUUUGUUUUGUGUAAUCGUGAACUAAAUUUAAGUUUAGUCUUGUUUUAUGGAGCAGGAGGAAGCGCCUUCAAGCUGGAGGACGACAUUCAGCUUCUGUAGCUUGGACAUAUUAUGUAAUAUCUUAAUGUUAUGUUAAAUAGCUUGUACUGAUUUGAAUUUAAAUAACCAGAACAUGUUUUUCCCUCAGCCUGAAAUAGACUGCAGUGACCGCAGGGCAGAGACAGUUUAGGAGACGCAAAGUAAACGUCGUCACAUCUCUACCAAACCAUUGAUUUAAUUAUAUUUAACUGUGUUUAAGUUGUUAAUCUGCUAUUACAGAUGUAUUUAAUGCUGUUUAUUUCAUUUGAUGUUUAUGGUUAAUUUGCAACCAUUGAUGUACACAUAUUUGUUUCAUUUAAGAACCAAACAUACCUCCAAUGAAGUGGGAUUAUUUGUUGAUCACAAUGCAAUGCAUAAUGACCAUUCAAAAAAUACAGACUUCGAGGUAGAGGUAAUAAUUAACCUACCUAACCUAAUGAUUAUUUGUGCCACUUCAAUCCUGAAUUAAAUGGUCAAACUGAAGAGGUCAAAGGAUGAGAGGAUCUAAUGUUGGCAAGAAUCUGUGGUCCAAAGAAAAUUUACUCAGUUUUAUUGCCUUCAGAUGUGUUACUAUUUUAAAAAUAGUAAGCCUUAAAAGCCUUAAAAAUCACUGUUCGUCCAUUUUAGUUCCUCCUCAGAGCCUUAUUUUAGGGCAGCUUCUCGAUUGCACCAUUGUUAAACAUUCAACUCUUAUUUUAAGGAAGAGUAUCCCCAGUUACUAGGCCAGCGAAGCCGGAUGCAUCAGUAGCUGCAGAGUGAAGAGGUGGACUCACUAAAACAAGUGUCACACCAACAAAGCGCUCAGGACCAGUGAGCUGCAGAGAUGGGAUGUGCUUUACCCAGAUGUUUGUGUACAGCUGGACAGUGCUCUCAAUAAAUUGCCACAAUUGUUCAAGAUGGA